UAUAAUUUUUUACUCUUCGUUUUAUUCAAAAAAAUUUUACAAUUGAUAUUUUUGUUUUUAUUAGAUGAUAAAUCAUGAAUAGUACUUUAAGUGUGACUAAUUUUUUUUAAUUUUCUAAAAAAAGUUAAAUAAAACGGAUGGUUAAAUGCUAUACACGAAAACU
rnacentral:pre_miRNA from 1 species